rnacentral:tRNA from 1 species
GGAGGGCUGUAGCUCAGUGCGGUUGGGCACUUGCUUGGAAUGCAAAAGGUCCCGGGUUCAAUCCCCAGCCCCUCCA